AAUUAGAACAAUCAGAUGAUUAGUAUUUUAAAUCUUUUUUGUAUAUAUAGUAAUAUGGACUGGUAACUGGCAAUAUCGCAGGGCUUAUGUUUUAUUGGGUAAACUUUCAGUUUUUUGCAUUGUUGACGAGGAAAUCUUAGGUUCAUUUUAAAUUUUUAACCAUGGAACAUCAAGAUUUAGUGGAUAAGAAUGAAGAUAGCGUUUAAUCGAUCAAAAAGGUUAGCAAUACUGAAGAUCGGGAUAAGAUGAAUGAGGUUGAAGGUGUAAAAUCUGAGUUGAUUAAUGUUGAUGAGAGCAAGGAUUUGCAAUCUGAAACUUAAUUGAACUGAUUGUAUUUGCCCACCUAUCUACAGUGGCUGAAGAUGAUGCUUCCUUGGUCAAGCAAAUUGGCCAAAGUUUCUGGUAUUCUAAAAUAGAGGCAAGAAGGGAGGAACAAAUCCAGGCUGCUCAUGACGAAGCCAUGUUUGGUGCUUCAGCACUUCCACCUCCUACCAGUACUGACAGUGAGCCUGAAAGGGAGAAUGAGAAGAA